rnacentral:rRNA from 1 species
CGAACCCGAUUACUGGCUCUUGAGCCGAUUGUAUUUGUAGAAGGGAUUUCGAGACAAUGCAUCUGGUACAAGUAUUUUGGAAUAUUCCGUCAUAGAGGGUGAUAAUCCCGUAUUGACCGUUUUUGCUUGUCUUUGUGAAACCCUUUCGACGAGUCGAGUUGUUUGGGAAUGCAGCUCAAAAUGGGUGGUAAAUUUCAUCUAAAGCUAAAUAUCAGCCAGAGACCGAUAGCGCACAAGUAGAGUGAUCGAAAGAUGAAAAGCACCUUGAAAAGGGAGUGAAACAGCACGUGAAAUUGUUGAAAGGGAAGCGCUUGCAACCAGACUUGCUUGCAGCAUUCAGCCUCUCGAAAGAGCGGUGCAUUUUGCUGUACUGCAGGCCAACAUCGGUUUAGGUGGUUGGACAAAAACUCGAGGAACGUAGCUUUUUUACGGAAAAGUGUUAUAGCCUCUUGUGUAAUACAACCUAUCUGGACCGAGGACUGCGCUUUCUGCGAGGAUGUUGGCGUAAUGGUUGUCAGCGACCCGUCUUGAAACACGGACCAAGGAGUCGACCAAUUAAGCGAGGAUUACGGUAUAAAACCCUUGUUCGUAAUGAAAGUGAAGGUAGGUGGGAGUCUUUGGACGCACCAUCAACCGAUCCGAGUUCGCGAGGAUUUGAGUAAGAGUUUAAUUGUUCGGACCCGGAAGGCAAUCUCAAUUUACCCAGUUUUCAUUUGUUGUCAUAGCUAACUAUUUUUUAGAAGGGAACUAUUCCUGAC